GAACGGAUGGUUUUUGGGGCAUUUCUGUGGAUAUUCAACAUAUUUCAUGCGGGGAAUCGUCGGUUGUAUCUGGCAACCAGCUAGAGUCAGGAACAAAGCAGUGAAAUGGAGGACGGACAGAGCUGGAUGAUGACUACCGUUAAACUAGAAGAAGAAGAGGAAAAGGAACAAAUAUUAUGGAGGGAAGUGAAGCUGAGUAUGAGCUGCAGGAGGAAAGCUGUGCUGGAGGAGCUUCGUCAUCCCGACCAUGUGUGGGACGGAAUGUUUGCUCCAAAGAUGGAGAAAAGCGGAGAAGAAGAAACGGAGGAGUUUUCAGAUGUGUGCUCUGUGAAGGAAGAGCAAUGCAUGUCUAAACGUUUUGAUGGAUCACAACAAGCUUUGGAUCUGAACAGUAUUCACACAGACACAGACUUGGUGUCAAAGUGGUUUUAA
rnacentral:lncRNA from 1 species